rnacentral:rRNA from 1 species
UAGGGAAUCUUCGGCAAUGGGGGCAACCCUGACCGAGCAACGCCGCGUGAGUGAAGAAGGUUUUCGGAUCGUAAAGCUCUGUUGUAAGAGAAGAACGAGUGUGAGAGUGGAAAGUUCACGCUGUGACGGUAUCUUACCAGAAAGGGACGGCUAACUACGUGCCAGCAGCCGCGGUAAUACGUAGGUCCCGAGCGUUAUCCGGAUUUAUUGGGCGUAAAGCGAGCGCAGGCGGUUAGAUAAGUCUGAAGUUAAAGGCUGUGGCUUAACCAUAGUACGCUUUGGAAACUGUUUAACUUGAGUGCAGAAGGGGAGAGUGGAAUUCCAUGUGUAGCGGUGAAAUGCGUAGAUAUAUGGAGGAACACCGGUGGCGAAAGCGGCUCUCUGGUCUGUAACUGACGCUGAGGCUCGAAAGCGUGGGGAGCAAACAGGAUUAGAUACCCUGGUAGUCCACGCCGUNNCGAUGAGUGCUAGGUGUUGGGUCCUUUCCGGGACUCAGUGCCGCAGCUAACGCAUUAAGCACUCCGCCUGGGGAGUACNACCGCAAGGNUG